AUUGAACGCUGGCGGCAUGCCUUACACAUGCAAGUCGAACGGUAACAGGUCUUCGGAUGCUGACGAGUGGCGAACGGGUGAGUAAUACAUCGGAACGUGCCCGAUCGUGGGGGAUAACGAGGCGAAAGCUUUGCUAAUACCGCAUACGAUCUACGGAUGAAAGCGGGGGAUCUUCGGACCUCGCGCGGACGGAGCGGCCGAUGGCAGAUUAGGUAGUUGGUGGGAUAAAAGCUUACCAAGCCGACGAUCUGUAGCUGGUCUGAGAGGAUGAUCAGCCACACUGGGACUGAGACACGGCCCAGACUCCUACGGGAGGCAGCAGUGGGGAAUUUUGGACAAUGGGCGAAAGCCUGAUCCAGCCAUGCCGCGUGCAGGAUGAAGGCCUUUGGGUUGUAAACUGCUUUUGUUCGGAACGAAAAGCCUCUUUCUAAUAAAGGGGGGUCAUGACGGUACCGUAAGAAUAAGCACCGGCUAACUACGUG
rnacentral:rRNA from 1 species